rnacentral:rRNA from 1 species
UAGGGAAUCUUCGGCAAUGGGGGGAACCCUGACCGAGCAACGCCGCGUGAGUGAAGAAGGUUUUCGGAUCGUAAAGCUCUGUUGUUAAGGAAGAACGAGUGUGAGAAUGGAAAGUUCAUACUGUGACGGUACUUAACCAGAAAGGGACGGCUAACUACGUGCCAGCAGCCGCGGUAAUACGUAGGUCCCGAGCGUUGUCCGGAUUUAUUGGGCGUAAAGCGAGCGCAGGCGGUUAGAUAAGUCUGAAGUUAAAGGCAGUGGCUCAACCAUUGUAGGCUUUGGAAACUGUUUAACUUGAGUGCAGAAGAGGAGAGUGGAAUUCCAUGUGUAGCGGUGAAAUGCGUAGAUAUAUGGAGGAACACCAGUGGCGAAGGCGACUCUCAGGUCUGUAACUAACGCUGAGGCUCGAAAGCGUGGGUAGCAAACAGG